GUACACAUCGCUCCAUUCCUGAAAAAUAAUAGAGCGAGCAGACAAAGGAAUUGCGUCACAAAUGUAAUUCAAUUAUGUUUCUGAUGGAAAGCUGUCACUGCUU